rnacentral:rRNA from 1 species
CACAAGUUAUGUUGUGUUAUCGACAAGUGAAUUCAUAGCUUGUCAGAAGGCAGACCCGGAGAACUGAAACAUCUUAGUACCCGGAGGAAGAGAAAGAAAAUUCGAUUCCCUGAGUAGCGGCGAGCGAAACGGGAAGAGCCCAAACCAAUAAGCUUGCUUAUUGGGGUUGUAGGACACUCUAUACGGAGUUACAAAGGAAUAUAUUAAACGAAUCAUCUGGAAAGUUGAAUCAAAGAAGGUAAUAAUCCUGUAGUUGAAAAUAUAUUCUCUCUUGAGUGGAUCCUGAGUACGACGGAGCACGUGAAAUUCCGUCGGAAUCUGGGAGGACCAUCUCCUAAGGCUAAAUACUCUCUAGUGACCGAUAGUGAACCAGUACCGUGAGGGAAAGGUGAAAAGUACCCCGGAAGGGGAGUGAAAGAGAACUUGAAACCGUGUGCUUACAAGUAGUCAGAGCCCGUUAAUGGGUGAUGGCGUGCCUUUUGUAGAAUGAACCGGCGAGUUACGAUCUGAUGCAAGGUUAAGCAGAAAAUGUGGAGCCGUAGCGAAAGCGAGUCUGAAUAGGGCGU